AUUGAACGCUGGCGGCAUGCCUUACACAUGCAAGUCGAACGGCAGCACGGGAGCAAUCCUGGUGGCGAGUGGCGAACGGGUGAGUAAUAUAUCGGAACGUGCCCGGUCGUGGGGGAUAACGUAGCGAAAGCUACGCUAAUACCGCAUACGAUCUACGGAUGAAAGCGGGGGGAUCGCAAGACCUCGCGCGAUUGGAGCGGCCGAUAUCAGAUUAGGUAGUUGGUGAGGUAAAGGCUCACCAAGCCGGACGAUCUGUAGCUGGUCUGAGAGGACGACCAGCCACACUGGGACUGAGACACGGCCCAGACUCCUACGGGAGGCAGCAGUGGGAAUUUUGGACAAUGGGCGCAAGCCUGAUCCAGCAAUGCCGCGUGCAGGAUGGAAGGCCUUC
rnacentral:rRNA from 1 species